AGCGUACACGGUGGAUGCCCUGGCAGUCAGAGGCGAUGAAGGACGUGCUAAUCUGCGAUAAGCGUCGGUAAGGUGAUAUGAACCGUUAUAACCGGCGAUUUCCGAAUGGGGAAACCCAGUGUGAUUCGUCACACUAUCAUUAACUGAAUCCAUAGGUUAAUGAGGCGAACCGGGGGAACUGAAACAUCUAAGUACCCCGAGGAAAAGAAAUCAACCGAGAUUCCCCCAGUAGCGGCGAGCGAACGGGGAGCAGCCCAGAGCCUGAAUCAGUGUGUGUGUUAGUGGAAGCGUCUGGAAAGGCGUGCGAUACAGGGUGACAGCCCCGUACACAAAAAUGCACAUGCUGUGAGCUCGAUGAGUAGGGCGGGACACGUGGUAUCCUGUCUGAAUAUGGGGGGACCAUCCUCCAAGGCUAAAUACUCCUGACUGACCGAUAGUGAACCAGUACCGUGAGGGAAAGGCGAAAAGAACCCCGGCGAGGGGAGUGAAAAAGAACCUGAAACCGUGUACGUACAAGCAGUGGGAGCACGCUUAGGCGUGUGACUGCGUACCUUUUGUAUAAUGGGUCAGCGACUUAUAUUCUGUAGCAAGGUUAACCGAAUAGGGGAGCCGAAGGGAAACCGAGUCUUAACUGGGCGUUAAGUUGCAGGGUAUAGACCCGAAACCCGGUGAUCUAGCCAUGGGCAGGUUGAAGGUUGGGUAACACUAACUGGAGGACCGAACCGACUAAUGUUGAAAAAUUAGCGGAUGACUUGUGGCUGGGGGUGAAAGGCCAAUCAAACCGGGAGAUAGCUGGUUCUCCCCGAAAGCUAUUUAGGUAGCGCCUCGUGAAUUCAUCUCCGGGGGUAGAGCACUGUUUCGGCAAGGGGGUCAUCCCGACUUACCAACCCGAUGCAAACUGCGAAUACCGGAGAAUGUUAUCACGGGAGACACACGGCGGGUGCUAACGUCCGUCGUGAAGAGGGAAACAACCCAGACCGCCAGCUAAGGUCCCAAAGUCAUGGUUAAGUGGGAAACGAUGUGGGAAGGCCCAGACAGCCAGGAUGUUGGCUUAGAAGCAGCCAUCAUUUAAAGAAAGCGUAAUAGCUCACUGGUCGAGUCGGCCUGCGCGGAAGAUGUAACGGGGCUAAACCAUGCACCGAAGCUGCGGCAGCGACGCUGAUGCGUUGUUGGGUAGGGGAGCGUUCUGUAAGCCUGUGAAGGUGUACUGUGAGGUAUGCUGGAGGUAUCAGAAGUGCGAAUGCUGACAUAAGUAACGAUAAAGCGGGUGAAAAGCCCGCUCGCCGGAAGACCAAGGGUUCCUGUCCAACGUUAAUCGGGGCAGGGUGAGUCGACCCCUAAGGCGAGGCCGAAAGGCGUAGUCGAUGGGAAACAGGUUAAUAUUCCUGUACUUGGUGUUACUGCGAAGGGGGGACGGAGAAGGCUAUGUUGGCCGGGCGACGGUUGUCCCGGUUUAAGCGUGUAGGCUGGUUUUCCAGGCAAAUCCGGAAAACUAAGGCUGAGGCGUGAUGACGAGGCACUACGGUGCUGAAGCAACAAAUGCCCUGCUUCCAGGAAAAGCCUCUAAGCAUCAGGUAACAUCAAAUCGUACCCCAAACCGACACAGGUGGUCAGGUAGAGAAUACCAAGGCGCUUGAGAGAACUCGGGUGAAGGAACUAGGCAAAAUGGUGCCGUAACUUCGGGAGAAGGCACGCUGAUAUGUAGGUGAAGUCCCUCGCGGAUGGAGCUGAAAUCAGUCGAAGAUACCAGCUGGCUGCAACUGUUUAUUAAAAACACAGCACUGUGCAAACACGAAAGUGGACGUAUACGGUGUGACGCCUGCCCGGUGCCGGAAGGUUAAUUGAUGGGGUCAGCGCAAGCGAAGCUCUUGAUCGAAGCCCCGGUAAACGGCGGCCGUAACUAUAACGGUCCUAAGGUAGCGAAAUUCCUUGUCGGGUAAGUUCCGACCUGCACGAAUGGCGUAAUGAUGGCCAGGCUGUCUCCACCCGAGACUCAGUGAAAUUGAACUCGCUGUGAAGAUGCAGUGUACCCGCGGCAAGACGGAAAGACCCCGUGAACCUUUACUAUAGCUUGACACUGAACAUUGAGCCUUGAUGUGUAGGAUAGGUGGGAGGCUUGGAAGUGUGGACGCCAGUCUGCAUGGAGCCGACCUUGAAAUACCACCCUUUAAUGUUUGAUGUUCUAACGUUGACCCGUAAUCCGGGUUGCGGACAGUGUCUGGUGGGUAGUUUGACUGGGGCGGUCUCCUCCUAAAGAGUAACGGAGGAGCACGAAGGUUGGCUAAUCCUGGUCGGACAUCAGGAGGUUAGUGCAAUGGCAUAAGCCAGCUUGACUGCGAGCGUGACGGCGCGAGCAGGUGCGAAAGCAGGUCAUAGUGAUCCGGUGGUUCUGAAUGGAAGGGCCAUCGCUCAACGGAUAAAAGGUACUCCGGGGAUAACAGGCUGAUACCGCCCAAGAGUUCAUAUCGACGGCGGUGUUUGGCACCUCGAUGUCGGCUCAUCACAUCCUGGGGCUGAAGUAGGUCCCAAGGGUAUGGCUGUUCGCCAUUUAAAGUGGUACGCGAGCUGGGUUUAGAACGUCGUGAGACAGUUCGGUCCCUAUCUGCCGUGGGCGCUGGAGAACUGAGGGGGGCUGCUCCUAGUACGAGAGGACCGGAGUGGACGCAUCACUGGUGUUCGGGUUGUCAUGCCAAUGGCACUGCCCGGUAGCUAAAUGCGGAAGAGAUAAGUGCUGAAAGCAUCUAAGCACGAAACUUGCCCCGAGAUGAGUUCUCCCUGACUCCUUGA
rnacentral:rRNA from 1 species